rfam:Schistosoma margrebowiei strain Zambia genome assembly, scaffold: SMRZ_scaffold0000012
AUCCAGCUGGCGAGUCUCAAAUGGGACGAAACGCGAGUCAAACUGGGU